AGAAUUUGAAGAUGCUUUAGCAAAGGAGCGAAAAAUCGAAGGAAAGAUGUGGAAGAAAUGUGAAAGAGUUAUAUAUUGGUAUGUGAGAAUAUUGUAUAUCUUGAAAUGUAUGAUAUAUUAUUGUGUUGAUUCUAUUUAUGUUUCUGUUAUUUUAAUGAUGUAGAGAAUCAGUAAAAUUGCCCAAUAAUGUAAACAUGCAGUUUGUGAUGAUCAAUUCCUUAAAGAAUUAUUACGUAUGCAAGAACAGAAGACGUUGUUCAGGCAUCCCCACCGAUAAUGAGAUCCAUAAUGGGUUAUUGACUCUUCUGAAUAAUCAAUAAACCAAAUUAUUAUGUCAUAUAUGGAUAAGAAAGAUCUAAUCCUCUUGAGGUAGAACAUGAUCGAUGAGUUAGAGUGAUUAUGUCGAUCCUAAUGACAUUAAAGGAUUUUGCAAUUGGAAAAUAGUGGUUGCAUCUAUGAUACUUCAUGUUUUGGUGCGUGUAGGUAUAGAAUUGGAUAUCUCAUUAUGGUACAUUUAUUCAUUUCGUAUAGAACUAAUUCCUUCACUUAUUUUUGAAUUUUGUUUAACCAUUUAGGUACAUUCACCGUGUAGUAUAUAAUUAAAUAAAUCGAAUAUUAUGGAUAUUGUCCCAGUUAGUAUUUGAUUACAAGUAAUAGCCCAAAAAUGUUGAAACAUAGAUAACAUCACAGUUAGAUGCAGAAAAGACUGUUACUUAACAUCAUUUAACCACAGCGUGAGUAAUUUUUGAAAUUAUGGUUUCUCUAUUAUAAUUAGUUUUCCAUAUUUUACCAAAAUAUAAUUAUAUAUGCCUGUGUUCAUUAUGAUAACAUUUUCAAUUGAUCAUCGCAUCUCUUCGGAAGAAUACAACAAUUACAUCGUGUUCUUUACACAAUCCACUUAAAUUUAAGAUGAAACAAAAUUAUUACUAGGUAAGUUUAUGUUAUUAAGGAUUUAGUAAUAUUUUCUCGGACUUUAUAAUUAGUUUUAGCGCGUAAUAUUUUUAAAAUAUUUUUUAAUAUACAGGGUAUGGAGUGACACUAUUUUUUACGAACAAUCUAAAAAAACUCACAUUUUGUACGACCAAAUAAGUGGAUUAUAUGUGACACUUCAUUAUAUAUAUAUAAUAUAUUAUAUAUAUAUAUAUAUAUAUAUAUAUAUAAUAAUAUAUAUAUAUAUAUAAUAUACUAUAAUAUAUAAAUGAAUGUCACAAAUAAUCCACUUAUUUUGGUCGUACAAAAUGUGAGUUUUUUUUAGAAUUGUUCGUAAAAUAGUGUCACUCCAUAACCCUGUAUAUUAAAAAAUAUUUUAAAAUAUUACGCGCUAAACUAAUUAUAAAGUCCGAGAAAAUAUUACUAAAAUCUUAUAAACAUAAACUUACCUAGUAAUAAUUUGUUUCAUCUUAAAUUUAAGUGGAUUGUGUAAGGAACACGAUGUAAUUGUUGUAUUCUUCCGAAGAGAUGCGAUGAUCAAUUGAAAAUGUUCACUAAAUGAACACAGGCAUAUAUAAUUAUAUUUUGGUAAAAUAUGGAAACUAAUUAUAAUAGAGAAACCAUAAUUUCAAAAUUACUCACGCUUGGAUAAAUGAUGUUAAGUAACAGUCUUUUCUGCCAUCUAACUGUGAUGUUAUCUAUGUUUCAAUCAUUUUUGGGCUAUUACUUGUAAAUCAAAUACUAACUGGGACCAAUAAUCCAUAAAUAUUCGAUUUAUUUAAUUAUAUACUAACACGGUGAAUGUACCUAAAUGGUUAAACAAAAUUCAAAAAUAAGUGAGGAAUUAGUUCUAUACGAAAUGAUAAAUGUACCAUAAUGAGAUAUCCAAUUCUAUACCUACACGCACCAAACAUGAAGUAUCCAUAGAUGCAACCACUAUUUUCCAAUUGCAAAAUCCUUUAUGUCAUUAGGAUCGACAUAUAAACACUCUAACUCUCGAUCAUGUUCUACCUCAAGAGGAAUUAGAUCUUUCUUAUCCAUAAUAUGACAUAAUAAUUUGGUUAUUGAUUAUUCAGAAGAAGUCAAUAACCCAUUAUGGAUCUCAUUAUCGGUGGGGAUGCCUGAACAACGUCCUUCUGUUCUUGCACUACGUACAAUAAUUCUUUAAGGAAAUUGAUCAUCACCAACUUCAUGUUUACAUUAUUGGGCAAUUUUACUGAUUCUCUACAUCAUUAAAAUAACAGAAACAUAAAAUAGAAUCAACACAAUAUAUAUCAUACAUUUCAGAUAUCACAAUAUUCUCACAUACCACAUAUAACUCUUUCAUUUCUUCCACAUCUUUCCUUCGAUUUUUCCGCUCCUUUGCUAAAGCAUCUUCAAAUUCUUUAUUUUAUCUUUCCAACUUCUUCUCAAACUCUUCAAUCAUUUCUUUUUGCUUUGUACGUUGCUUUUUUUGGAUAUACCAUAGAAUAAUCUCAAGCAUAUGUCAUCUCCAACACCACAGACACGUCCAUCAUGCUCCUCUGUUCCGACUGCUUCUAUUAAUACUUCAUAUCGUAGUUCUAGAACAAAAGAACCUUCACGGGCCAACACAACCAAUGAAUCCUACACAACAUGAAAAAAAAAAUUAAUUACCAAAGCGAACCCUCUUGCAAUUUUUUCAACGACUUCUCUUGAGGCAUCUGAAGUGUACUCUCAAUUUGUUCUUUGUCGAUCUCUCUUGCAUUUCUCAUGUUGUGAUGGUGGAAAUGGAUUGCGAUCAUGACUCACGGAAUCCUCGUCUCUCAUUUGUUGUAUUUUUUUUAUUAAUCAUUAUUUUCUCAAGUUUCCUAUAACACACACGAGACAAUCUACAAGUAGUAUUUAUACCAUAUUCGAAUAGUCUUUGUACAAAAUACUAUGAGUGGUAUUUAUAUCAUAUUCAAAUAGUUUUUAUACCAUCAGAGGGUGUAUUUCUAGAUCAAUUAUCUAUCGUGUAAAUAGUAAUCGUAUAAUAUAGAACUGAGUUGUUUUAUCCUGGAGGUGGCGCAGUAGUUCAACUGCUUUGUAUAACUUUUGGCAGUGUCGUGAAACGUCUUAAAGAGAGCGAAUUAUUCCGCGACUUAUCCCGAUAACUUCUUCUGUGGCUAUUUUCAAAAUCCAAAAACAACCGAUUCUGUCUUGAGAAUUGAUUCUACUUGAAACUAGAAUUCGUAGUUUUUAAAUUUAAAUAUGACUUUUAUAUUAAAAUUUACUGUUAAAAUCCCUUCUAUAUAAAUUAUCCAAACAUAAAUUAUUUUAUCUUCAACUAACUUUUAGCUAGAAUAAAGUUUACAAUAAUGAAUUCAUUCAAAAUUAAUUAUUAUAACCCUUGUCUUUCUUUUACUAUCUAAUUGAUAUCAUGUAAGUACUCAAAUUUAUGUAAUUUGAAAAUGUUGAUUUAAAAUUGAAAAGAUGAUUCAAUUGAUCGAUGUUUUUUCUAAUAUAGAUGAUAAAUUAUUCUUUGGAAGGAUUAAAUUGAUUGAUGAUUGCAAUUUCCAGCAAUAAAAUGUUUAUAUAUUUCUAAGUAUUUGAUUUUAAUUGUGAAAUGAUGGAUGAUUAGCUUAAUAGAAGUUAACAACACAUAAUAAGCGCGUAAUAGGUCCCAUUAUCGGUUGUUACAACGCUAAAAUCCUAACAAAGCCUAAUACAUGAUCCUUUGCCUCCCACCCUCCAUGAAAAUAUAAAUAACAACAAGACACAUACAUAAUGAACGAGAGAGGAACAUGGGUCCAGAACCUCUAAGCCAAGGGUCUUGGCUUAUAUAUACCCAAGUCUUAGCCACUUAUUUGACCACAACAACACACAACAUGGGUUCUUCAUUUUGGACGUGUGUUUGAUUCUAGCAUCACUUGUUUCUUCUUCAUUCUGUGCUCCCCAAGGAAGCCAGUGGAUGUACCAUUUGGUAGAAACUAUUACCCUACUUGGGCUUUUGAUCAAUAUCAAAUACUUCAAUGGCGGUUCUGAGAUUCAGCUUCAUCUUGAUAAGUCCACUGGUUAGUACUGUUUAUUAUUCUUCCUGUAUAGUUUUAAACCUGUCACUACACUGUUCAUGUAUCUAACUAGUUUUUGAACAGGUACUGGUUUUCAGUCCAAAGGAUCAUACUUGUUUGGUCAUUUCAGUAUGAACAUUAAGAUGGUUCCCGGUGAUUCUGCUGGAACAGUUACUGCUUUCUACGUAUGUAGUACAUGUACAUAAAAUUAUAGUUUUUUGUUUCUAUUUUUAUUAGUAAUGACAUUAGAUGUGAACGGAACUACUUUUCAUGCAGUUAUCUUCACAAAAUGCUGAACAUGAUGAGAUAGAUUUCGAGUUCUUGGGGAACAGAACAGGACAACCUUACAUUUUACAAACAAAUGUGUUCACUGGUGGACAAGGUAACAAAGAACAAAGGAUUUUUCUUUGGUUUGAUCCAACAAAAGAAUUUCACAGAUACUCCAUUCUAUGGAACAUGUACCAGAUUGUGUAAGCAUUACUUGACUCAACUACUAUUGCAAUAUUGAUAAAACAAUAUAGCUUAACCUAUAUGAUUGAUUUGAUUGCAGUUUCUAUGUGGAUGAUGUUCCAAUAAGAGUGUUCAAGAACAGCAAAGAUUUAGGAGUGAAAUUUCCAUUUGACCAACCAAUGAAAAUAUACAACAGUUUAUGGAAUGCAGAUGAUUGGGCAACAAGGGGUGGAUUAGAGAAAACAGACUGGUCAAAAGCACCAUUCAUAGCAGGAUACAAAAGCUUCCACAUUGAUGGGUGUGAAGCAUCUGUUAAUUCAAAAUUCUGUGCAACACAAGGAAAGAGAUGGUGGGAUCAAGCUGAGUUUCGUGAUCUUGAUGCAGCUCAAUGGCGUAGCUUAAAGUGGGUGAGAGAAAAAUACACCAUUUACAAUUACUGCACUGAUAGAAAACGUUUACCUCAAAUUCCCUCCGAAUGCAAAAGAGAUGGUGACAUUUGAACUUUCAUGCAUACUUUUACCACUUACUUUACCAUAAAUCUCUUCUCGUAAGUAUUUGUAUCAUAAAUUAUUUGUUCUUGUCUUGUCACCGUUAUUUCAUUUGAUCAACUAUGUAAUAUUUCAAGGUUGAACCUAAGGAAGCCUUUAUAUAUGUAUCUGUAAUUCUAUAUUGAUUGGUCAUUUAUCAAGAAAAAUAACAUUUGUUUGCUAUUGCCAUUUCAUGAUAAUAAUAUGAUCUUGAUAUUUCAUAA
rnacentral:lncRNA from 1 species